CACUUGAGUAAAAGUGUGACAACUAGCCCCGGUUACACGAGUGCGUGUCCCCGAGGACCGCUCCAUCGCGCGCGCGUGCGUUAGGGAUGAACGCGAGAGCGCGCAUAGAGCUAGCAGACCAGCACACGCUCCGGAUCGUCAACACGGGAAUCAGCUGUCAGCACACGAAUCCCAUCCAGAGGAAGUCAGAGCCUGUAUUUACUGGGAAAACCAUCCCAGCUGUGGACCAGGUCUUGAGCGGUUUACGGUUAUACAGCCUGUGCACUUUAAUAUUCCUCACGGAUCUGGUCUCUUCAUGACCUGCUGAAGAGAGCCGGCUUUCCUCUGUCUGAGCUUUCAGUAAUUAUCUCGGACACGUGAAAAUGAAGCUGCGUGGGCGAUCAGUGUGUCACGGCAUGUUUUCUCUCCAUGUACCCUGUCAGGAAGUGUCUCCAUUUAAUAUCAUUGCCAUGUAAAAGAAACAAUUGAGAUUUUAAAGCAAAGUCAUUCUUUCCCAUGGGAUCCUCUCUUCCUCAGAAACUGGACUUGCUUCAUCUCUGAACUGAAAGGCCUCUGAUGGAGUACGAGCUGCAGUCUCUGGGCCCUGUCUCGGGCCCCGGGGCCACGGAGGGGCUUCUGCUGGCUUCGGACACAGAGCAGAUCACGGCUCUGUGUUUCGUGGGGCUCCUGCUGCUGUUUUUGGUGUUCCUGCUGGUGCGCUGUUUCCGGAUUCUCCUGGACCCCUACAGCAGCAUGCCGUCCUCAUCCUGGUCUGAUCAUAAAGACGGUUUGGAGAGGGGACAGUUUGAGUACGCACUCGUCUAGAUGAACAAUUACAAACUGUCUGUUUGUUAUAAUAUAUAUAACUAUGAACAAUAUAAUAUUUUGUACUUUAAUAUAAUAUUUUUCAUUAUUUUUGUAACAUUUCCACCCCAAAAUGUUGAAUUCUGGAAUGGACAAAAUAAUAUUUUAAUUAAACUUUUAAAUAUCUAAUCUAAUCUAAUCUAAUAUAUAUCAAGCUAACAUGUCAAGAACACAC